rnacentral:rRNA from 1 species
CGAGCACGCGCGUGUGGCAUAUCAAUAAGCGGAGGAAAAGAAACUAACAAGGAUUCCCUUAGUAACGGCGAGUGAAGCGGGAAGAGCUCAAAUUUGAAAUCUUCAAGGUUUUACCUUGACGAAUUGUAGUUUGAAGAAGUGUUUUCUGUUGGAGUUUUGGUAAAAGUUCUUUGGAAUAGGACAUCAUAGAGGGUGAGAAUCCCGUAUUUGACCAUUAUUUCCAGCUGUGUGAUACACUUUCAAAGAGUCGGAUCGUUUGGGAAUGCAGUCCAAAAUGGGUGGUAAAUUUCAUCUAAAGCUAAAUACUGGCGAGAGACCGAUAGCGAACAAGUACCGUGAGGGUAAGAUGAAAAGAACUUUGAAAAGAGAGUUAAACAGUACGUGAAAUUGUCAAAAGGGAAGCGUUUGACACCAGUGUUGUUUUUCCGAAAAUCAAUUACGAAUGUUUUGUUUUUAAGGAGUUAUGACUUCAUCGGCUUGCUUCCUUUCUUUACUGAAACUUUCUUAAUGCACUUUUCGGUUAACAAGUCAACAUCAAUUUCUUUUGUUGUAAAAGGGUAUGAGGGAAGGUGGCUUUCUUUUCGGAGAAAGUGUUUAUAGCCUUGUGCCUCUGCAAUCGGAGAGAUUGAGGUCUGCAGCGUAGAUCCUUCGGGGUUAGAUACGCUUUGUGCUAAGUUAUAGCUUUUCAUAGACAACUUGUUGACUAUGUUUAGUCUUGUAGCUUACUCGCUUACUGCUAUUUUACCUACGCUUAGGAUGUUGAACUCUAUCACACACAG